rnacentral:lncRNA from 1 species
AGGUGAAACAGCUACAGGUGAAACAGCUACAGGUAAACAGUACAGAUGAAACAGCUACAGGUAAAACAGCUACAGGUGAAACAGCUACAGGUGAAACAGCUACAGGUGAAACAGCUAUAGGUGAAACAGCUACAGGUGAAACAGCUACAGGUGAAAC